rnacentral:lncRNA from 1 species
GAGAGAGAGAGAUUUUUUUAAACUAGAUCAAAAUCUACAAUUUUGUUGUUCAUCAGUGACUGUCUUUCACCCACCAUUAUUUUCCAUACUGAAAGCAGGAUGUAGACUUUUGUGGGUAAUGAGCAGAUAUAAAUACCUAUGAAUCAGAUAAAUUAUGCUGUAUUUCUUCAUUCCAGAGAAGCUGCUACAAUGAAGGAUGUAAGCAGAUGCUGUUGCCUUGGAGACUGCUCAUUCGAGUCUCGAUUGCACCAGGUGGAUGAUAUCUUUCUUCCUCAGGAGUAUGGAGAUGGUGGCUUUAUUCUCAAAAUGCACUUCUGAUAUGGUGACAUGUAUCUACUUGUUACGAGUCAUGAAGAUGUUACUGCAGGCUUGGUGCCUCUCUCCCUCUCUGAGACUGAGAGAAACAAGAAUCUAUUGUAUUGUUGAAGUGUAUUACUGGAUAUGCGGAAUCUACAGAAGAAGUAACAGCACAAGUGCACCCAGUAAAGAGUGAGAUAAUUGGUGAGGAAACUGUUUAUGUGCUGCUUGAACUUGAUGAACUCAUGUAUUUUGAACAGGAAAAGUAGUUACUGAUACCUCCAUAAAUUUGUGUUCUCACUAAAGUUGUAUAUUUUUAAAUAUAAGAGUAAAACAGAAGCAGCACACCUAUUCCCUCACAACUAUUGUGUAGUUGCAAG